UUUUAAAUGAGGCCAAAAGUCAUCUGAGUGAUUUUGUUUCCCUGUCAGUAUCAAAUUGGCAACAAUAUCCUAACUUAUUUACAGAUGUCACAGGAUUUGCCUAUCAAUUCUGUCUUUCAGGAGAUACACACCUAAGAGUUCCCAGAGCCGGGCUGGAUGCUGGACUAGAUGCUGUUUGCACAGCAGUCCCGGGAACCUGUCCCAGGGAGGGGUCGGCAGGCACAGGUGCAAGCUCUGGAAAGAAAAACAACACAGAGGACAGUCACCACUCCACACCACACCUGCCUCCUCGUGUAAGGCCUUUUCUGGGAACUCAAAUAUUCAUUAUUGGGCUCAUACUGCCCUGAAAUAUGAAUGGCCUGAGCAUUAUUUCAAGUUUUAACAUAACAUGAAAACAUCAAACGUGAUGCGGUGCGUGCAAGAAAUAGUGAGGGAUGGGCAAGGAGUGCCGGCCACCGCUCUGGGCCCAAGGGUCACAGCCUGCAAAAGCACACAGGAAGGCACACAUGCGUGCACACGAGCGUGCACACACACAGCAGCUGUGAGCGCCCAGUGCCCUGAUCCUGACACCUCCAGACAACGGUCCCACACAGCACGUGUCGGGUCCACGGCAGCUAACUGGCCUGCCUUGCAGAGUUCUGCUCUCAGGAUGAGCGUUUUCCCACGGCUCAAACUCAACCUGGAGACGAAGAGGCCCACGCUCCAGCGACUGAGCCAGCCAGGCCCCCCUGGAUUCAAUUUGAAGACGCCAGAAAGACAAGCAAACAGGCAGAAAAUAUCAAUACAGGCAAUAAGGGCUGGAAAACUCGAGGCUGGGGGGCCUGUGCGGAGCCUCUCCAGGGCUGCCCGGGCCUUCCCGCACCACCCGGCAUCAGGAGGGACAGCCUGCGUGGGGGAGGGGCAGAGAGAGCGCCGG